rnacentral:rRNA from 1 species
GAUCCUGGCUCAGGACGAACGCUGGCGGCGCGCCUAACACAUGCAAGUCGAACGGUGAAGAGGAGCUUGCUCCUUGGAACAGUGGCGGACGGGUGAGUAACACGUGAGCAACCUGGCUCUAAGAGGGGGACAACAGUUGGAAACGACUGCUAAUACCGCAUAACGUAUCGGGAUGGCAUCUUCCUGAUACCAAAGAUUUUAUCGCUUAGAGAUGGGCUCGCGUCUGAUUAGAUAGUUGGG